rnacentral:rRNA from 1 species
UCGAGAAUCUUCGGCAAUGGGCGAAAGCCUGACCGAGCGACGCCGCGUGUGGGAUGAAGGCCCUUGGGUUGUAAACCACUGUCAGAGGGGAUGAAAUGCGCGUGGGUCCUCCCAUGCGUUUGACAUAGCCUCAGAGGAAGCACGGGCUAAGUUCGUGCCAGCAGCCGCGGUAAUACGAACUGUGCAAACGUUAUUCGGAUUCACUGGGCUUAAAGGGUGCGUAGGCGGCCAUGUAAGUAGGGUGUGAAAUCCCCCGGCUUAACCGGGGAACUGCGCCCUAAACUGUAUGGCUGGAGUGAGAUAGGGGUGUGUGGAACUUCCGGUGGAGCGGUGAAAUGUGUUGAUAUCGGAAGGAACGCCGGUGGCGAAAGCGACACACUGGGUCUCAACUGACGCUGAGGCACGAAAGCCAGGGGAGCGAACG